UUUCCCACUCUCCCACUUUCCCACUCUCCUCAUUCAACCCACUUUCUCACUUUUCUCUCAUUCAACCGGUUGAAUUUUUUUCAACCCCUCUCUCCUCCAACUAAUUCAACCCCAAAAUUAAACCCACCAUUGCAACAUUUCAACUCAUCUUUUGGGGUUUAAACCUAACCAUUGUAACUAGUCUAAGAAAUUAAGUUACUAGUCUGCUUAUUUGUGAUGUCAUGUGAUCUUUUAUUGGUAGAAACAAUCAAUGUAUGUAUAUGAAAUGAAAUUAAACUAUAAAAUAGUAUCCUUAAGUCCUAGCUACAUCCAUAAAAACAUAAGCCAACCAAGUUCCUUCAGAUUCCCACAAUACAAUCUCAGUAGUCUUGGUAUGAUGAAUGGUAGUUGCAUGCAAAUGAGCAUCCAACUCAUGGCAUAGAGAUGUUUGCUGCUGGUGUCAUAUUAUCAAAUCAUUUAUGCCAAAGUUGCAAAUGCAAGGGGGAUGAGUCUUCUGCCUCCCACUUCCUGUAGUUCAACACCAAUUCCAUUCGCCCUUGGAAAUCGGAAACAACUAGGUUGAUCAUUAAUUGCAACCGCAGUUGCAACCAUGUGGAUAAUCUCUGCUUCGUCGGAAGGAGCCAUCACCACCAUGUUAGGUAGACAUGCCAUAUAGGUGACAUCAAAAGAACCACAAUGUGUUGGACCAUCUUCUCCAACAAAUCCAGCUUUGUCAAUCACAAAUCUUACAGGCAGCUUCUGUAGAUCCACAUCAUGCACCACCUUCGAAUGGACACGAAAUAUAUACUUAGAGCAUUAUUUACAAAAGUCGAUGUUAUACAAUAUUCUAUAUGGAUUUCGGUGAUUAAGGCAUUAGUACUGGUGUGAUUGCACGUGAAAAGUAAUUAUAUGCUGCAUUGCCUUAUUAUACGGAGUAUUAACUAAAUUAUACUACCUGGUCAUAAGCUCUCUGCAAGAAGGAUGAGUAAAUUGUGCAAAAAGGCUUAAGACCUUCACAAGCUAAACCUGCAGCAAAUGUAACAGCAUGUUGUUCUGCUAUCCCUACAUCGAAACAUCUUGUAGGGAAACGGCGAAGGAAGUGAUUCAUGCCGGUUCCACCUCCCAUUGCAGCAUGGAUUCCAACAAUGUUUUUGUCUACUUCAGCUUCAGCGAUCAAAGCAUCAGCAAAGCAUGUUGUGAGUAACGGCGUUGGAGCCUUGGUCUUGAACUGUUUUCCAGUAGCAUAAUCAAACUUGGCAACUCCUGCAAAACUAAACAAUGUUAGAUAUCUUUCAUGAAUAUAGCAAGUCAAAGAUUAAUUUGUAAUGUUAAUGCUUAUUUUACCAUGGUACUUGUCUGCUGCUUUUUCUGCAUAUGGAUAUCCUAGGCCUUUUUCAGUGACAACAUGGAUUAAUACAGGACCAGUUUUCUUAGGA